UGAGUACGAGACGCUAAGGCGUCGAAGUAGCGUAUGUCAUACUUCCAAGAAAAGCUUGCACUGUCAUUCAUAAAAAAUGCCUGUACCAUAACCGACACAGGUGGGUAGGUAGAGUAUACUAAGGGGCGCGAGAUAACUCUCUCUAAGGAACUCGGCAAAAUAACUCCGUAACUUCGGGAGAAGGAGUGCCUUAUUUAUAUAAGGUUGCAAUAACAAGAUCCAAGCAACUGUUUACCAAAAACACAGGUCUCCGCUAAGUCGCAAGACGAUGUAUGGGGGCUGACGCCUGCCCAGUGCCAGAAGGUUAAAGAAGUUGGUUAGCAAUAGCGAAGCUAGUAACUGAAGCCCUGGUGAACGGCGGCCGUAACUAUAACGGUCCUAAGGUAGCGAAAUUCCUUGUCGGGUAAGUUCCGACCCGCACGAAAGGCGUAAUGAUUUGGAUACUGUCCGGAGAGGGACUCGGUGAAAUAGACUUGUCUGUGAAGAUGCGGACUACCUGCACCAGGACAGAAAGACCCUAUGAAGCUUUACUGUAACUUGAAAUUGAAAUUGGACUUUAUUCGCGCAGUAUAGGUGGGAGGCAUUGAAAAUAAUCUUGCGGGAAUAUUGGAGCCAUCAGUGAGAUACUACUCUUGUAAUGUUAGAUUUCUAACUUUGAAUCAUUAUCUGGUCAAAGAACAGUUUCAGGCGGGCAGUUUGACUGGGGCGGUCGCCUCCCAAAUGGUAACGGAGGCGUACAAAGGUUUCCUCUGAACGGGUAGAAAUCGUAUCUAGAGUGUAAAGGCAAAAGGAAGCUUGACUGUGAGACCUACAAGUCGAGCAGGGACGAAAGUCGGUCUUAGUGAUCUGACGGUACUGAGUGGAAAGGCCGUCACUCAACGGAUAAAAGUUACUCUAGGAUAACAGGCUGAUCUCCCCCAAGAGUUCACAUCGACGGGGAGGUUUGGCACCUCGAUGUCGGCUCAUCGCAUCCUGGGGCGGUAGUACGUCCCAAGGGUUGGGCUGUUCGCCCAUGAAAGCGGUACGCGAGCUGGGUUCAGAACGUCGUGAGACAGUUCGGUCCAUAUCCGGUGUAGGCGUUAGAAUAUUGAGAGGAGCCUUCUUUAGUACGAGAGGACCGAGAAGGACAUACCUCUGGUGUACCAGUUAUCGUGCCAACGGUAAACGCUGGGUAGCUAUGUAUGGAGUGGAUAACCGCUGAAAGCAUCUAAGUGGGAAGCCCACCUCAAGAUGAGUAUUCUC
rnacentral:rRNA from 1 species